CGGGACGGGGUGGAGUAAUGUCUGGGAAACUGCCUGAUGGAGGGGGGUAACUACUGGAAACGGUAGCUAAUACCGCAUAACGUCGCAAGACCAAAGAGGGGGACCUUCGGGCCUCUUGCCAUCGGAUGUGCCCAGAUGGGAUUAGCUAGUAGGUGGGGUAACGGCUCACCUAGGCGACGAUCCCUAGCUGGUCUGAGAGGAUGACCAGCCACACUGGAACUGAGACACGGUCCAG
rnacentral:rRNA from 1 species